UACGUAGGGUGCAAGCGUUGUCCGGAAUCAUUGGGCGUAAAGAGCUCGUAGGCGGUCUGUCGCGUCUGCUGUGAAAACCUGGGGCUUAACCCUGGGCUUGCAGUGGGUACGGGCAGACUAGAGUGCGGUAGGGGAGACUGGAAUUCCUGGUGUAGCGGUGAAAUGCGCAGAUAUCAGGAGGAACACCGAUGGCGAAGGCAGGUCUCUGGGCAUUAACUGACGCUGAGGAGCGAAAGCAUGGGGAGCGAACAGG
rnacentral:rRNA from 1 species